rnacentral:rRNA from 1 species
AUGCACGCUGACAGAAUGCUUAACACAUGCAAGUCAACUUGAACUUCGGUUUGGGUGGCGGACGGGUGAGUAACGCGUAAAGAACUUGCCUCACAGAUAGGGACAACAUUUGGAAACGAAUGCUAAUACCUGAUAUUAUGAUUAUAUGGCAUCGUAUAAUUAUGAAAGCUAUAUGCGCUGUGAGAGAGCUUUGCGUCCCAUUAGCUAGUUGGAGAGGUAACGGCUCACCAAGGCGAUGAUGGGUAGCCGGCCUGAGAGGGUGAUCGGCCACAAGGGGACUGAGACACGGCCCUUACUCCUACGGGAGGCAGCAGUGGGGAAUAUUGGACAAUGGACCAAGAGUCUGAUCCAGCAAUUCUGUGUGCACGAUGAAGUUUUUCGGAAUGUAAAGUGCUUUCAGUUGGGAAGAAAAAAAUGACGGUACCAACAGAAGAAGUGACGGCUAAAUACGUG